rnacentral:misc_RNA from 1 species
AUACCAUGUAAACAAAAAUUGUCUGCCUUAAUAAACAACCUUCUGUGAGCUUACACUAAAGCAUAUGCUUGGUGGAUCUAGAUGCUUGUCAAUCAAAAAAUCUCAAAACCAAAGGAUUGCAUAUUUUUACUCAGAGUAUUUAAUAUCUACUAGUCCUGAAAUAUUUCCUGGCUUAUUUAGGUCAUAGUGUUAAAAUGUUUUUUGUGUUUUAGGAAUCAAAGUUUGCCUCCAUCCCUUGUUUUAAAUAUUCCUGGAGCCACCCCUGAUACGGGUGUCCUUUUCAAAGAUCGAUGGUGGAGAUUGUGAAGGUUAAGGGAUCAUUAGGGUGUGCCUUUGAAAUCCUCGCCUUCCCAUGUAAGGUGCGGUAGCUAAGGAAAAUAUGGAGCCGGUAUUGGGAACUUUUGAACAAGAUGACUGGGAAAAUGAUGAUCGAUUCGACGAAUCAAAGCUUCCAUCUUCAGGUUAUGAAUAUCUUCGGAGAGUUCAUUUUGAAGCUAUGCAGUGCCCUGAUGUUGUAGUUGCCAGUCUUGACACCAACAGCUUCCAAAGCAAGCAGACUGUUCAUGUGAAUGAGAGAUCUGGUUGGUCACCGGCUCCAGCUGGAUUUGCCCCCUCAGCUGAUUGGCAGACGGAACAAGCUGCAGAUUUUGCCGAUAUAAGACAAAAACUUGCUCAUCAUCGAUCAAAGCCUGGAAAAGAGUAUUCCACAAAGCUAGCUUUGCCAAGGAAAUCUGAUUCUAUGGGAUGGUGUCAAUUUUGUCUUGGAGAGCAGAUUGCAAUGAAAAUAUUUGGCAGGAAAGAUAACAAGAAAACUGUUAAUGAUGAGAAAGCAUUGGAAGGCAGCAAUUUACAAACCACCAAUCAGGAGGGAACACCUCCUCUACUGAGUGUUCUUCUUCAAAUUAAUCAAGCGACUUUGCUGCAAGUUUUAGAAUAUCACGUGGAAUGGCUGGAAGAAAUCGGAUUUUCCCAUGACCAGGGGAAGUGGUUUUAUGCUCUACUUGUUUGCCUGGAGAAACCACUUUUGCCAGAAACCACCUCAUUGCUUCGCACUCUCGCCAGACUCUGCGCAACCCUGAGAGCUUCGCUGAAAUGCAAGAAAUUCGACGGUUAGACAAAUAGAAUACCCUCCGUAAACUUGCUGCUAAGGAUAGUGACGCAGUCAAGACCGACACGAACGAGAAAACGCCAAGUCCAAUACAGCACUGCAGUUGGUGUCUUUAAAACGCUUCAAAAACCGCCGGCGGUUAACAAGUCAGCCCAUGGCAAGGGCGCCCCAAGUCGUUGAGCGACGCGAUCGUAAAGCGCACCUUGUCCGUCAGUUGAUCCUGCUAUCCUGGAAGGGCGACGCAAGACUAACUGAGAAUGGACAAAAACUCAGUAACGAGAGACUCGCGCUGUUGUACGAAGACAUUCUCGAAUCGCUGGAUUUUUACUCCAUCUUCCAUGAAAGGAGAAGGCAAAAUGAAGAACUGUAUCGUAUCGAACACAACCUUCCAGUUUCAAAGCGGGUCGUUUGAACUGUUCAGGGCUUAGAAUGUACGCAACCGAUAUGGAAAUUUCUCGCAAGGAGGCCGGAAUUGUUGGGUAAGUUACCUUGCAAGGUGUUUGAUUUCCCGAAGGAUGUUAAGGUUCGGCAGGAAAAGCAAUCAAGACAGGAAAUCAAGGAUUAUUUGAGGAAGGGGGUUCAAUAAACGUGCUGAUCGAACUAACAGACCGUCAGAUAUCACUAACCGAGUGUCGUUCGACAUUUGGAAAGGUCGUAGGAUUUGGGAUUUUGGGGCAGUAAAGCAGGCUUUUUCGUUUGCUCCAUCAAAAAGCACAAAAAAAAUUGUCUGUCAGCAUUAUUUCCACUAUAAGAGAAUUCUUCAUUUCCUGUAGAUAUGCGUGAAAAGAAAAAGAAACAAACUUGAAAAAAAAUUAGCAUUAUUCUAUAUAGGCAUUUGUAUUAAGUGAGUAAGCAAGUAGGUAACUUUAUUUAAUGAGUCUGACACAUGACAGUACUAAUUAACUGAUGACUCAGUGGCCCUCAAAUAAAACAAAACAAAAAAUAUAUUAUAUGAUGUAUAUAGAAAUAAAUC